AGACUUUGAUCCUGGCUCAGAUUGAACGCUGGCGGCAUGCUUUACACAUGCAAGUCGAACGGCAGCACGGGCUUCGGCCUGGUGGCGAGUGGCGAACGGGUGAGUAAUGCGUCGGAACGCGCCGAGUAGUGGGGGAUAACGCAGCGAAAGCUGUGCUAAUACCGCAUACGUACUGAGGUAGAAAGUGGGGGACCUUCGGGCCUCACGCUAUUCGAGCGGCCGACGUCUGAUUAGCUAGUUGGUGGGGUAAAGGCUCACCAAGGCGACGAUCAGUAGCGGGUCUGAGAGGAUGAUCCGCCACACUGGGACUGAGACACGGCCCAGACUCCUACGGGAGGCAGCAGUGGGGAAUUUUGGACAAUGGGCGCAAGCCUGAUCCAGCCAUGCCGCGUGUCUGAAGAAGGCCUUCGGGUUGUAAAGGACUUUUGUCCGGGAGCAAAGCCUACUUGUU
rnacentral:rRNA from 1 species